rnacentral:lncRNA from 1 species
GGUACACAAGGUCCCCAGUCUCGAGCUGUAACUUGUUCAGCGAAGAGACUAAGUGAUCGCCCUAGGCGACCUACGUGGCACUGGGUGACGAGAUGUGAACAAUACACUGAAGUAACGUCUCACCAUACUUUUUAAAUCAGCGUACACGUGGCAAGAUCAACGACUAUCACUUGUUGUCGUUUGCGCUUCUUCGUAUACUCCACGGUCUUUCGAAGACUUGGACUACGAC